UACGGGGGGGGCAAGCGUUGUUCGGAAUUACUGGGCGUAAAGGGCUUGUAGGUGGCCAACUAAGUCAGACGUGAAAUCCCUCGGCUUAACCGGGGAACUGCGUCUGAUACUGGAUGGCUAGAGUGUGGGAGAGGGAUGCGGAAUUCCAGGUGUAGCGGUGAAAUGCGCAGAUAUCAGGAAGAACACCCGUGGCUAAGGCGGCUCUCUAGUACGGUACUGACGCUGAGACGCGAAAGCGUGGGGAGCGAACAGG
rnacentral:rRNA from 1 species